UACGUAGGGGGCAAGCGUUGUCCGGAUUUAUUGGGCGUAAAGAGCGUGUAGGCGGCUUCACAGGUCCGCUGUGAAAACUCGAGGCUCAACCUCGAGCUGUCGGUGGAAACCGUGUGGCUAGAGUCCGGAAGAGGAGAGUGGAAUUCCCGGUGUAGCGGUGAAAUGCGCAGAUAUCGGGAAGAACACCAACGGCGAAGGCAGCUCGCUGGGACGGUACUGACGCUGAGACGCGAAAGCGUGGGGAGCGAACAGG
rnacentral:rRNA from 1 species